AAGUCGUAACAAGGUAACCGUAGGUGAACCUGCGGUUGGAUCAUUAAAAAAUAUUUGGUCUCGUGCCAAAUUUACACCUGUGUGCACCAUUGUCUGUAUUUGGUAGCUCGAGCGCGCUCCGGAAGCUCAACACUUCCAUUAGGGGCGCCUACCCUUGCGGGUCACAUCCCGCUUGGGUUGGGCUACCGCCUUUUUUUUGAAAAACCUUUUUUGUUUUGUCUUUUUGUCUGAACGAAGAGUUGAUCUUAAUUGAUUAAUGAUUUGAAAACAACUUUUGACAACGGAUCUCUUGGCUCUC
rnacentral:misc_RNA from 1 species